GAUGAACGCUGGCGGCGUGCCUAAUACAUGCAAGUCGAGCGAACAGACGAGGAGCUUGCUCCUCUGACGUUAGCGGCGGACGGGUGAGUAACACGUGGAUAACCUACCUAUAAGACUGGGAUAACUUCGGGAAACCGGAGCUAAUACCGGAUAAUAUAUUGAACCGCAUGGUUCAAUAGUGAAAGACGGUUUUGCUGUCACUUAUAGAUGGAUCCGCGCCGCAUUAGCUAGUUGGUAAGGUAACGGCUUACCAAGGCAACGAUGCGUAGCCGACCUGAGAGGGUGAUCGGCCACACUGGAACUGAGACACGGUCCAGACUCCUACGGGAGGCAGCAGUAGGGAAUCUUCCGCAAUGGGCGAAAGCGUGACGGAGCAACGCCGCGUGAGUGAUGAAGGGCUUCGGAUCGUAAAACUCUGUUAUUAGGGAAGAACAAAUGUGGAAGUAACGAUGCACGUCUGGACGGUACCUAAGCAGAAAGCCACGGAUAACUACGU
rnacentral:rRNA from 1 species